AUGUCAUGUUGUGGGCAGCUGGUGCACAAUCUCUUGAAUCUUUUCCAAUACUCAUACAAGUCUUCAGUCUCUUUUUGCUUAAGGCCAGUAAUCUCUCUCCUUAUGCCU